GAUGAACGCUAGCUACAGGCUUAACACAUGCCAGUCGAGGGACCGGCGCACGGGUGAGUAACACGUAUCCAACCUGCCCUUUACUCGGGGAUAGCCUUUCGAAAGAAAGAUUAAUACCCGAUAUAAAGGAUGGGGAUGCGUUCCAUUAGGUUGUUGGUAAGGUAACGGCUCACCAAGCCUUCGAUGGAUAGGGUUUUGAGGAGGAAGGUCCCGCACAUUGGAACUGGGACACGAUCCAAACUCGUACGAGAGGCAGCAGUGAGGAAUAUUGGUAAAUGGGCGCGAGCCUGAAACAGCCAAGUAGCGUGAAGGAUGAAGGCUUAUGGGUCGUAAACUUCUUUUAUAUAAGAAUAUGUAUUAUAUGAAUAAGGAUCGGCUAACUCCGUGCCAGCAGCCGCGGUAAUAC
rnacentral:rRNA from 1 species